rnacentral:rRNA from 1 species
UACGAAGGGGGCUAGCGUUGUUCGGAAUCACUGGGCGUAAAGCGCACGUAGGCGGAUCUUUAAGUCAGAGGUGAAAUCCCAAGGCUCAACCUUGGAACUGCCUUUGAUACUGGAGAUCUUGAGUCCGGGAGAGGUGAGUGGAACUGCGAGUGUAGAGGUGAAAUUCGUAGAUAUUCGCAAGAACACCAGUGGCGAAGGCGGCUCACUGGCCCGGUACUGACGCUGAGGUGCGAAAGCGUGGGGAGCAAACAGG